rnacentral:rRNA from 1 species
UCCGGAGGGUGCAAGCGUUAUCCGGAUUCACUGGGUUUAAAGGGUGCGUAGGUGGGCAAGUAAGUCAGUGGUGAAAUCUCCGGGCUUAACCCGGAAACUGCCAUUGAUACUAUUUGUCUUGAAUACUGUGGAGGUCAGCGGAAUAUGUCAUGUAGCGGUGAAAUGCUUAGAUAUGACAUAGAACACCAAUUGCGAAGGCAGCUGGCUACACAAAUAUUGACACUGAGGCACGAAAGCGUGGGGAUCAAACAGG